rnacentral:rRNA from 1 species
UACAGAGGGUGCAAGCGUUGUUCGGAAUCAUUGGGCGUAAAGCGCGUGUAGGCGGCCAUCUAAGUUUGGUGUGAAAGCCCAGGGCUUAACCCUGGAAGUGCACUGAAUACUGGAAGGCUAGAGGGUGAGAGGGGAGAUUGGAAUUCAUGGUGUAGGGGUGAAAUCCGUAGAUAUCAUGAGGAACAUCAGUGGCGAAGGCGAAUCUCUGGCUCAUUUCUGACGCUGAGACGCGAAAGCGUGGGGAGCAAACAGG